UACAGAGGUCUCAAGCGUUGUUCGGAUUCAUUGGGCGUAAAGGGUGCGUAGGCGGCGCGGUAAGUCGGGUUUGAAAUCUUGGAGCUUAACUCCGAAACUGCAUUCGAUACUGCCGUGCUUGAGGACUGGAGAGGAGACUGGAAUUUACGGUGUAGCGGUGAAAUGCGUAGAUAUCGUAAGGAAGACCAGUGGCGAAGGCGGGUCUCUGGACAGUUCCUGACGCUGAGGCACGAAGGCCAGGGGAGCAAACGGG
rnacentral:rRNA from 1 species